UGGAUCCCACAAUGGACAACACCAA
rnacentral:misc_RNA from 1 species